rnacentral:rRNA from 1 species
GGCCUUUUGAAUAUGAUUUAAGGUCUGACCUGCCCAAUGAGUGGUUUAAUGGCCGCGGUAUUUUGACCGUGCAAAGGUAGCAUAAUCAUUAGUUUUUUAAUUGAAAGCUUGUAUGAAGGGUUUGAUGAAAAAUUUUCUGUCUUUUAAAAAGUUUAUUAAAAUUUUAUUUUUAGGUGAAAAAGCUUAAAUUUUUAUAGGGGACGAGAAGACCCUAUAGAGUUUAAUAUUUUUAAAAAAAUGAAAUUUUAGAAUUGUAAUUUUAUGUAUUGAUAAGUAUUUUAUUGGGGUGAUAGGAAAAUUUAAAGAACUUUUCUUUUUUUGUUACAUUUAUUGAUGGUUAUAUGAUCCUAUAUUAUAGAUUAAAAGAAUAAAUUACCUUAGGGAUAACAGCGUAAUUUUUUUUAGAGUUCUUAUCGAAAAAAAAGAUUGCGACCUCGAUGUUGGAUUAAAAUUAAUUAUAGGUGUAGGAGCUUAUAUGAUUAGGUCUGUUCGACCUUUGAAAUUUUACAUGAUCUGAGUUUAAACCGGUGUGAG